UUAAUAAAUGUCUUAGAUAUAUAACCAUAACCUUCUUCCCUGGUAAUACAACUAACUAUAUUCUAUGGUCCAGAUGCGACACAAUUCCAAUUAUAGAAUGAUAGAAUACAGGAAAAUAGUACUAGUAGGACAUGCUUAGACAAGCUCCUAACAAUCUAAUAUAUCAAACACUCUUUAAAAUAUCCCCGUUGACCCUCAAAUCCUUCCUAACCUAUAAAAAUAGUUGGUUCGGCAAGAUAACUCGAUCAUUAGCGGAGAUAGGCAUAUCCUGGGAAUUCAUUAACCGAGCUUCUUCUGAUAGGAAAACUUUCUUUUAGAAGGAUUCCUACACAAGAUACCAUUCAACAAAACCAAACACUGGAACGUUUCAUACUACCAAAAUCUAAAGGCAUUAUUGCUUCAACAAGAGAGAAAGCUAGAAAGAGACAGAAAAGGAACGAGCAAAGUCUUAUUCCUACAACAUCCAACCAUCUUGAAGAUACUGGAAAUAAACAAUUUGCUUCAACAUCCAAUCAUCUUGAAGAUACUGAAAAUCAAGAACAAAUUCCUACACAAGAUACCUUUGGUGCAAUAUCUA